rnacentral:rRNA from 1 species
UACGAAGGGGGCGAGCGUUGUUCGGAUUUACUGGGCGUAAAGGGCGCGCAGGCGGCUACAUUUGUCAGGCGUGAAAGCCCCGGGCCUUAACCUGGGAACUGGCGUUUGAUACGGUGUGGCUAGAGUUCGGGAGAGGAGAGUGGAAUUCCCGAGUGUAGAGGUGAAAUUCGAUAGAUAUUGGGAAGAACACCGGUGGCGAAGGCGGCUCUCUGGACCGAGACUGACGCUGAGGCGCGAAAGCGUGGGGAGCAAACAGG